CGUAAUAGCUCACUGGUCGAGUCGGCCUGCGCGGAAGAUGUAACGGGGCUAAACCAUGCACCGAAGCUGCGGCAGCGAACGUAUCACUUAAAGCGAUUCAGCGGGUUACGAUUGACGGAGCGAAGCGACGUCAAAGCGUAUACAAAGUCGAGUCGGUUUAAGGAUACGUUCGUUGGGUAGGGGAGCGUUCUGUAAGCCUGUGAAGGUGUGUCGUGAGGCAUGCUGGAGGUAUCAGAAGUGCGAAUGCUGACAUAAGUAACGAUAAAGCGGGUGAAAAGCCCGCUCGCCGGAAGACCAAGGGUUCCUGUCCAACGUUAAUCGGGGCAGGGUGAGUCGACCCCUAAGGCGAGGCCGAAAGGCGUAGUCGAUGGGAAACGGGUUAAUAUUCCCGUACUUGGUGUUACUGCGAAGGGGGGACGGAGAAGGCUAUGUUGGCCGGGCGACGGUUGUCCCGGUUUAAGCGUGUAGGCUGGUUUUCCAGGCAAAUCCGGAAAAUCAAGGCUGAGGCGUGACGACGAGGCACUACGGUGCUGAAGCAACAAAUGCCCUGCUUCCAGGAAAAGCCUCUAAGCAUCAGGUAACAUCAAAUCGUACCCCAAACCGACACAGGUGGUCAGGUAGAGAAUACCAAGGCGCUUGAGAGAACUCGGGUGAAGGAACUAGGCAAAAUGGUGCCGUAACUUCGGGAGAAGGCACGCUGACACGUAGGUGAAGUGAUUUACUCAUGGAGCUGAAGUCAGUCGAAGAUACCAGCUGGCUGCAACUGUUUAUUAAAAACACAGCACUGUGCAAACACGAAAGUGGACGUAUACGGUGUGACGCCUGCCCGGUGCCGGAAGGUUAAUUGAUGGGGUCAGCGCAAGCGAAGCUCCUGAUCGAAGCCCCGGUAAACGGCGGCCGUAACUAUAACGGUCCUAAGGUAGCGAAAUUCCUUGUCGGGUAAGUUCCGACCUGCACGAAUGGCGUAAUGAUGGCCAGGCUGUCUCCACCCGAGACUCAGUGAAAUUGAACUCGCUGUGAAGAUGCAGUGUACCCGCGGCAAGACGGAAAGACCCCGUGAACCUUUACUAUAGCUUGACACUGAACAUUGAGCCUUGAUGUGUAG
rnacentral:rRNA from 1 species